rfam:Idiomarina loihiensis L2TR, complete genome.
CUUGGCGUCCUUUUUGUGCGCCAUAAUGCCAUUACCGACCGCAUGCAAAAGGUGAGUCUUACCCAAGCCGGUACCACCAUA